AAACAAACUGCGACCAUUUCUCCCCGCACUAAUACACCCUGACCAAUCGGGAUUCAUCCCGGGCAGGGAGGCCAAACACAACACGACAAAGAUAGUGAACCUAAUCUAUCACUCCAACCAGUCGGGGGGCUCCAGUCUACCCCUGUUCAUAGAUGCCGAAAACACGUUUGACAGGGUGGACUGGACCCUAAUGACCCACACAUUGCAACACAUGG